AUUUUUUUAAAGAGAAUGCACUGAGGCCGUUUUGCUGCAAGGCUCCAGAAAAUGUUUUGUGGACAAAAACUUCAUCUGACUUGGAGGGAGCUCAUCGCCGAAUGAAAAGAGCAGGAGUCGGUGACACACAGGCAGGGUGAGGUGGGCCGGCUGCAAGAGGAGCUCAAAAAAAAGAAUGGACUCUUCGCAACAGGAAUUUUAAAAAAGCAGGUCAGAAGCCAAGCUGACGAGGACUCCCUGUACCAGCUGUCUCUGAUGGAAAUCCAGCUGAAGAGGAGCAAGGAGCAGCUGCAGGGGUCAGAUCGAAGUGGCACAAGGCAAAACAGGAUGUCCAGAAAUCCCUCUCACUGGCAAUGCUUUCCAGCUCCUCAAGAAUCCUGAGACAUUACCUGACCAGGAGGAGUGUGUGCCUUUGUGUGUGUCGGUUCCAAAUAUCAAGAAGUGCCCUCAGGUUAAUAUGGAGAUGAGAUCAAAGCUGACCGAAAGCCAUUCACACACAAGAAGCCACUGAGAAUGGCUCUCAUUCAGCACCUGUCCUAAGGCUGGAGCUCAGCUGACAUUUAAAAAGAAGGACCUGGACCGCUGUUUCCUCUCUCUUUUUGGAUGCUCUGCUGAAACUCCACCUGACAGACACAACUCUAAGACUACCUCUCACUCUCUUUCAUGUCGGAGCACUUUGCUUUUUUAUUGCCCUCUGUGUCACAAGCUUCUGCAGUCUUGGAUGAUAUCAUUGCACGCUCAGCGUACAUGAAGCGAGAUGUUACUAAACAUGUAUGCAAACAGACAGCCUAUUCAUGAGUCAUUCUCGGACAGUGCAUGCACGAACAUCAGCUUGAGGUCAAUCUGGCAUUUCAUUGUCGCGAUAACACCCACCCACAGUUCACAUGAGUUAAGAGAGUGAUAGAAGGAAGAGGAGCAAGGUCCAAGUGACUUCAGCCUCCCCAUGCCCCUGUUCAGGGCUGAGAACUAUUGCGGCAAAAGGAGCAACCGAGGAGAGGGAGCCACGUGAAAGUACAGAAGUGAAGAGGAAAAAGGAGCAGGAGGUGAAUAGCAUGUCGAUGGGGCUGUGUGAGGAUGAAAAUUGAUUUAUUGCAGCACUGAUGAGUAGCGGCAUGCCAGGAGACAGUGGGUGCACUCCAAGCCCUUUGCUGCGGCACCAUAAAACGAAACAGGGGCCCUCCCUCUUGUUAUAAUUGCUGCAGAGAUCUCAGCAAAGGCUCGAUGUCUCUGUAUAGAAAUUUAUGCAACCCCCGACUGUGGGUACCCCAUGUGUUAUUUCCAAUCUCCAUGUCUAGAUGCUGCAGGUAGAGAUAUAGGACAUGCUUUCUGCUCUGCACUACUGGGAGCUUUAACUUACAGUGUAAACACACACAGAUCAAAGGCAUACGAUAAUCAUAAAUGCACAUUCUUAUAGGAUACGCAUCAGGUGGCCGAUCUCACCACCCAUGAGCAAAGAGGCUCAAAAAGUCUGAAAGAAUAAUUAACAUGCCUUCUUUACACUCAAGCGCUAAGUGGUUGGUGUUGGUCAACAGUUAAACUUGUAUACCAAGCUGAUGUCAAUCAUGCCUAUUUGGAUUCUAAUCAUUCACCUCACUCUGACUCAUACUACUUAAGAGUAUAACAAACUCGCUUAUUGUGAUAAUUAGACUUUAAACAGAGCUCUAGCAGCUAUUGUUUUAAGUGCAGACAGAUCUGAAAAAGGGAAAAAGACACAGCAUGAUGUUCUGAACUUGAACUGAACUGUUUAGCACUCCCACUGUUUGGCAUUUAAUCAGGAAUAAAAUAAGUAUUUUGCUAACUUAAAA